CCUAUUUUAUUCGGAUUUGGAAGCAACAAUAUGAGCAUUCUCGCAAAGUCAGUCCAUCACAAGUGGAUGAACACUGUAAAAAAAAAAAUUUGCUUAUUACUCGCAUGCCUCUGCAUGACCUGUAUAUAGAAACCCUUGACAUAGUGCUUGUACAGACCUUAAAGUGACCCAUUUGUUGAUGGUCUUUGUUCAUGACAAGCUAUGAAUGAUCUGUGAAUGAUUUUACACUUGCUGAAGAGUUCUCAUAACAAGUGUUCUGGGCUUUCUCAAUAUACCUGGAGGCAGUUGCCAUUCUUCCCCAGUUGGUGCACUUGCAAAGAUGUGGAAAUGUUGAUAAUCUGACUGGACAAUAUGUGCUCUUCCUUGGGGCCUACCGUGCAUUUUACAUCUUAAACUGGAUUUACCGCUAUCUGACCGAGAUGGAUUUGUAACAAUUUGUUAAAGCUUGCUGAAGUGGCUCCUCCUUGAUGACAUAGACAAACUGGUUUAGCAGCUGGAAAAAUAGUGUCAAGCUUCAACUGCCAGCAUGAGGCAAAGAAGAUAUAUGAUGUGAACAGUUUUAACACCUAACCGGAAUCUGGUUUCCUACUGUGACUUGUGGACAUAAUUUUGGCAUACUACUUUUCUUUAGACGUGAGAUCAUACAUGGAGUUUGGCCUGAGGGUCAAGUAUUUCACUGAGCUCUUCUUACAUUGUUAGAUCAAGAUAAAGUACCCUUGUUAAUAUGGCAGAAAUAUGUUAAUUUGAAAAUGUUGUCUGCAUUCCUGUCAAAUGAUUGGAAUUUUCAAAGACAAUAGAGGUACGACUAGUGAAUUAUUUUGCUUCGUACAUAUUAAGUUUCUCAGAUGU